GACUCCAUAGCUAAGUGGUUAUAGCAUGAGAUUGCAGUAUGUCACUUACGAUGUGAUGUAUAAUCUCGGGGUCGCGUGUUCGAGUCACGCUGGGGUCU
rnacentral:tRNA from 1 species